rnacentral:misc_RNA from 1 species
CGAAAGACGAGUAAAGCGACGAUGGAAUGAGGAGCUCAUUGUUAAGCUUGGAAACGAGAAUCUGGAAUCAGCGAAAUCGGGAUUGCAGAAUGGCUGCGAAUGGAAGUAGAAAAUUUGCUUCAAUGUUAUUCUACUUGUUACUAUCAUUGCCAUCGAUUUCUCUUGCUUACAGGCCUGGAGACAUCGUUCCCAUGAGUAAGAUGGGUCAAUACCACUCGUCGAGAACUCUGUGGCAAGACGUGAUCGGUAAACAUUGCCCUGUAUUUGCUGUUAAUCGCGAGGUGUUGAUUCCUAUACCAAAACCAACAGGUUACACGGGCGCUGAUCCCUACAAAAUAUCAUUUCAAGUUGGAAGAGAAAAGUUUCUAAUUCCGUGGUUGUUUGUGAUAAAUCGCAAAAGUUCUGAGGUUCCGAUGAUUGAUGUGCAUUUGAGAUACUCAGGAAGCGAUCUACACGGGGUCACUGCAAAAGUUGUAGACAUGCCUCACCACUAUAUUGAAAUCCAUCCAAAUAUUCGCAAGCAAUUCUGGGACCCUCAACAUUGGCCUAAGCAUGUUCUUGUAAGAUACACCUGGUAAGUAAUGUAUCAUUACGUUAGAAAUGAACUUCUUUGGUUUAAUUCGUUUGGCAUGCAUACUUUUAGUUUGAUCCUUAGUUAUGAAGAAUAGUGAUGCUUCUGCAAGUAUGUAUACCCUGAAGCAAAAGAACUAUUUAUGUUUCUAUCAAUUCUCCCUCUUCAACUUUCAUGUAGGAGUUUUACAUGUACUAUCUGAGGUUUGAUGAGAGGAUUAUGCUUACAGAUUAACAGUUAACAGGAUAUCCAUGAAUAGCAUGGUUAUUGAGCCGUUGCAUUAGUUUUUCUUUGUGGAGGCCAUUAUAUUGCCACAGAUAUACGAUCUAUUAUUUUGACUAUAUGGAAACUGGAAUUGAUUAGUUGGUUUCCUUCCUGGGUUUAAGCUGAGGGUUUCUGUUAACUUUUCACCUGUCAGGUUUCAAGUGUAGUGGACCUUUAUUGAAAUCUUUAUAGGACAUAAUAAUCAACCUGCCAGUCAUUGGACAACCUGUCUACUGUUUGAGCACUUCCCUAGCUGUGUCUUCUCACUGAUGGGUGGCAUGGAAAAUUGAAUUUAGACCUGGUUGUGUACUUGUGUUUGCCUUUCUAAUACUUCUGUUUGCACAUUAAAAUGUUAUCUUAAAAAAUCUCCCAAACUCCCUGCGCAAAGGUUCAAGAGUCAUGUGUGGUUGUAUGCUUUAUUUCCUGUUUCCUAAAGGUCUAAUUGAGUUAUUUUAUCCUAUAUGAAGUGAAGGGCGUACAUCAUCCUUUUUUGUGUUCUAUUCUAUGAUGUGAUUUGCCUUGGAAGUGAGAACUAUAAGCAGCUCAAAAUUAUAAUCAACUUUUUUUGAUUCUUUGCACUGACAUUUGACAGGGAGGAACAAUCAGAUAUUGAUGUUACUUCUGGAUUCUAUGUGUUAUUUGGGUCAGGUAAUUAUAUCUGCUAAAAUUGAAAGCAGUAGGUUUGUUGUAAUUAUGCUGACUAGUUUCAUUUUCCCCUGCUUGCAUAAGUAAAUGCUUCGUGAAAACAAGAGUUUUUUUUAUGCAAUCUGAAGUUAAAAUGUGUGUGAAAACAGGGUUGAUGCUGUCCUUCAUUCUCUCAAUCUAUAUCUUGCAGUCAUCAAGAGAAAAAUUAGCAAGGUUUGUAAGGGAGACCGUUGCAGAAAGCAAAAUUCCUGCCGGAGGAGUGGCAAAAGUUGAAUAGGGAACUUUCAAAAGUUUCAACACAUUACAUGCACAAAUACAAUCAGUACCUCCAGAGAUCUGAAUAUUUAUGUGAAAGAGAAAUUUACAUCCUCUGGGCUUCAAGGAAACUUACAAGCUGAUAGAAGUGACAAAUAGGCUAUUAGCAAGAGUAGUUUGGUUAUUGUAGUGUGUGUUCAAUAGGUGAAUGCAUUCUGGCGUGCAAGAAAUAGUUUACAUACGCCAGGAAUUUAUUGGGCCUCAAUUUUGCACUCUUGUAGUAUGGUGGUGUUCUCAUACUCGAAAAACUUGGUUUUUCAUUGGCUUCAAGUUUGGUUAAGCAUUUUAGGGCUUCAUUAGUUUUUCACUGGCUUCAAGUUUGGUUAAGCAUUUUAGGGCUUCAUUAGUUUUUCACUGGCUUCAAGUUUGGUUAAGCAUUUUAGGGCUUCAUUAGUUUUUCAC